rnacentral:rRNA from 1 species
GAUGAACGCUGGCGGCGUGCCUAAUACAUGCAAGUCGAGCGAACGGACGAGAAGCUUGCUUCUCUGAUGUUAGCGGCGGACGGGUGAGUAACACGUGGAUAACCUACCUAUAAGACGGGGAUAACUUCGGGAAACCGGAGCUAAUACCGGAUAAUAUUUUGAACCGCAUGGUUCAAAAGUGAAAGACGGUCUUGCUGUCACUUAUAGAUGGAUCCGCGCUGCAUUAGCUAGUUGGUAAGGUAACGGGUUACCAAGGGAACGAUGCAUAGCCGACCUGAGAGGGUGGUCGCCCACCCUGGAACUUAGACACGGUCCAGACUCCUACGGGAGGCAGCAGUAGGGAAUCUUCCGCAAUGGGCGAAAGCCUGACGGAGCAACGCCGCGUGAGUGAUGAAGGUCUUCCGAUCGUAAAACUCUGUUAUUAGUUAAGAACAUAUGUGUAAGUAACUGUGCACAUCUUGACGGUACCUAAUCAGAAAGCCACGGCUAACUACGUG